rnacentral:rRNA from 1 species
UACGUAGGUGACAAGCGUUGUCCGGAUUUACUGGGCGUAAAGAGCGCGCAGGCGGUCGAUCAAGUCGAGUGUGAAAGCCCCCGGCUCAACUGAGGAGGGUCAUUCGAUACUGAUCGACUCGAAGGCAGGAGAGGGUAGUGGAAUUCCCGGUGUAGUGGUGAAAUGCGUAGAUAUCGGGAGGAACACCAGUGGCGAAGGCGACUACCUGGCCUGUUCUUGACGCUGAGGCGCGAAAGCUAGGGGAGCAAACGGG